GAACGCUGGCGGUGCGCCUUAUGCAUGCAAGUCGAGCGAAGCUUUUCAGUAGUUUACUACAGAAAAUGACUGAGCGGCGAACGGGUGAGUAACGCGUGAGCAAUCUACCUUAGUUACAGGGAUAGCCCGAGGAAACUCGGAUUAAUACCUGAUAUUCUUUAUAUUUCGCAUGAAAUUAAAAGGAAAGGUCAGCCGAACUAAGAUGAGCUCGCGUUCUAUCAGCUAGUUGGUGAGGUAAAAGCUCACCAAGGCUACGACGGAUAGCUGGUCUGAGAGGACGAUCAGCCACACUGGGACUGAGACACGGCCCAGACUCCUACGGGAGGCUGCAGCAGGGAAUAUUGCGCAAUGAGCGAAAGCUUGACGCAGCGACACCGCGUGUGGGAUGACGGAUCUAGGUUUGUAAACCACUUUCAGGAGGGAAGAAAAUGACGGUACCUCCACAAGAAGCCCCGG
rnacentral:rRNA from 1 species